rnacentral:rRNA from 1 species
GACGAACGCUGGCGGCGUGCUUAACACAUGCAAGUCGAACGGAAAGGCCCUGCUUUUGUGGGGUGCUCGAGUGGCGAACGGGUGAGUAACACGUGAGUAACCUGCCCUUGACUUUGGGAUAACUUCAGGAAACUGGGGCUAAUACCGGAUAGGAGCUCCUGCUGCAUGGUGGGGGUUGGAAAGUUUCGGCGGUUGGGGAUGGACUCGCGGCUUAUCAGCUUGUUGGUGGGGUAGUGGCUUACCAAGGCUUUGACGGGUAGCCGGCCUGAGCGGGUGACCGGCCACAUUGGGACUGAGAUACGGCCCAGACUCCUACGGGAGGCAGCAGUGGGGAAUAUUGCACAAUGGGCGGAAGCCUGAUGCAGAAACGCCGCGUGCGGGAUGACGGCCUUCGGGUUGUAAACCGCUUUCGCAUGUGAAGAAGAGUGAGUGACGGUAAUGGGUAAAGAAGCACCGGCUAACUACGUG